ensembl:lncRNA
UCCCCCCAGCCAGCCUUCAAAAAAAAUGUCGAAAGGGAUGAAGAACUUAGGGAGGUAAAGGUGGGGGGCCGCGUGGUGAAAGCGGGGGUUGGGGGGAGUGAGGGGUGGCAAUAAUCGUUUAAAAAACUGAUUAAAGUCCCCCAAACAGUGAUACAUAGAAAGAGGGGGAAAGGCUGGGGGGGGUGGGGGGUUGGGGGAAAGAGAAAGAGCCGCUGGUCAGGAAACUUCAAGCGCGGAUGAGGUCAUUGGUUUAAAAAUAAAGAGAUGGCGUCACUUGAAACCAAUCCCAGUGAAUGAACUCAGCGGAGCCCCGGGGAAAGGAGGAGACAGGCGAGGGCAGGGCGGUGGGCGCCGGGCGGGGCCGCGCGCCCGCCUGCCCGCCCAUCCCGCGGACGCCGGAGCCCCGAGCGCGACUCCGCGCCUCGUUCCGGCCGCUUGGGGAGGGGUCAGGUCAUGUUCCCUUCCAGUGUCCGGCGACUCUGAGGCAGGUUCCGCGGGCGCCGCUGGGAGGAGCCGGAGCUGCCGGAGGAGGCGGCCCCGAGGCCUCUUCCCCCUCCUCUCCCUCCUCCUCCUCCUCCUCCUUCCGGGCCCGCGCCCCCGCCGCCCCCCGGGCCAGGGUGUCCGCCUCCAGCGCUGCGCUGCAGCAGAUGACAUUAUGCACUUUGGAAAACGAGAGACCUGAGGUGGUGACAAACGAGGACUUGGAAUUACUGAAUAGGACAAUGGGAGCUUUAUUUCAAUGUUCUUUGAGCAUUUAAGCAUGAAGCUGCUUCUAGUGAGAAGUGCUCACGUGGAUAUCACAUAACAAAGAUGUGAUUAAUGACGGAAAAGCACCCUGCGAGUGGACUGCUCCAUGAGCCAGAAUUUAUGUGUUGGAAUAAUCUAACUCCUAAAAGACUCCGUUUGCGAUGUGCCUGAUUGGGACACUGGCCCCUAAAGACACUGUUGUGGGAUAUCCAUAUGCACCCUGCCUAAAGCACUUUGUUUUCAUUGGCAAAAGAACUGAGAAGCGGGUUUGGGUGGGUUAGAAAGAUAAUACACCCCUUUUGCUACUUUUCUGCCUUUAAAUCCUGCAACUGAAGGGCAUUCCUUAUGACUGGUAAUCAUUGAAGGUUAGUGUUGCCGGGUAAGGCUCCGGCUUUUAUAGGAGGGAGGAAAGUCCAUUUGAAGAUGGGAGGCAUUGCCAGCACCUCUGGCGGUAGGUAAAGCCCGAAGGCCACAGUGCAGAAGCAACUCUGAGCCGGUGCCUCUGGCCUCCUGAAGACUUCUGCUAGGGAAAGCAAAUCUCUCCCACUGCUUCCUGUCCUCUGGUGGCCAGGAGGUGUUACUGCAGCUUCCUUGGGAUUAUUUGUGCUCUACCAGGAAACCCCUAAAAAUCUAACUGUAGACCUUUGUUGGAGGUGUUGGGAUUUUUAGGAAGGAAGGAGAAGAUAGUCCUUUUACUAGUGGUACAGAGCAUGGAUCUUGCCUGGAGAAAAGAUUCAUGAGAAUUCAUGAUAUCCCCUUUGCAUGCCAUAGUUCCAGUAACCUUGCUUUAACUGACAUGGCUUGAAAUCUUUCUCCCCUUUCAUCCUCAUUACAAUUAAAUUUGUGUAAUGUAUGCAUGUGGUGCCAUCAUAGCUAUCAUGGAAGCCUCUCGGGGUAUUUCAUCUAUUUCUGGAAACAAGACAUAGAUUAAAGUUAAUUAAAAGCCAAAGCACUGAUUGAGUGAUGUACAAUAUUGGUUAAAAGAGUCGGGGGAGAAAAGGAGCGAUGCACCCUGCCUAAAGCACUUUUUUUUCAUUGGCAAAAGAACUGAGAAACGGGUUUGGGUGGGAUUAUCGGGGAAGGCACCUUAUGAAGAGUUUUGACCUUAUCCUUGAAGGAUAGUUAAGAUUCAGUUUGCAGUGAAGAAGCCGGUGGAGGGACGAUUCCAGAGGGCAAAUGGCAAUGAGCCAAGACAUGGAGGUGGAAUGAAUAAUGAGUAAGGUGUACUCAGGUGAGAGAAGAGCAAACCCUUCCAGUAGCAGUAGAGCGCAGUGGCUCACGUCUGUAAUCCCAGCACUUUGAGAGUUUGAGACGGGCAGAUCACCUGAGUUCCAGAUUUGAGACCAGCCUGACCAGCAUGGUGAAACCCUGUCUCUACUAAAAAUACAAAAUUAGCGGGUCAUGGGAGCACACAUCUGUAAUCCCAGCUGCUAGGGUGACUGAGGCAGGAGAAACACUUGAACCCGGGAGGUGAAGGUUGUGGUGAACCGAGAUUGCAGCAAUGCACUCCAGCCUGGGCAACAAGAGUGAAACUCCAUCUCAAAAAAAAAUGGUAUGUAGCAAUUAGGUGUGAGGUCAAAUUUAAGAGAUACAGAGGCAGAUUGUGGACAUACUUGAAUGUGAAGAUAAAUAGAUUGUUACCUGCCCAGCAGGUGAAGGGGAAAUCACUAAAGAAGUUGACUUCACUGAAGAGUAUCUUUCUCUUUCUUCCAGUGAGAACAGCUUUACAUAUACUAACAAUAAAUAUGUGGAAGCCGAAAUUAAAAACACAGAACCAUUUACAAUUGCCCCAAAGAAUGUGAAAUAUUUACAUAUACAUCUAACAAAAUGUACAGGAUCUGCGUGCUGAAAAUUAUAAAAUGCUGAUGAAAGAAAUUAGACAAAUAAUUGGAACGGCAUAUCAUGGAUUGGAAGAAUCAAUAAACAUGUCUUUCCUUCCCAAAUUGAUAUAUAGAUUUAACAUAAUUCCCAUCAAUACCCCAGCAAAGUUGUUGGGUUUUUGUUUUUGUUUUUGUUUUUUUGAGAUGGAGUUUCGCUCUUGCUACCCAGGCUGGAGGGCAAUGGCGCAAUCUCGGCUCACCGCAACCUCCGCCUCCUGGGUUCAGGCAAUUCUCCUGCCUCAGCCUCCUGAGUAGCUGGGAUUACAGGCACACACCACCAUGCCCAGCUAAUUUUUUUAUUUUUUUAGUAGAGACGGGGUUUCACCAUGUUGACCAGGAUGGUCUCAAUCUCUUGACUUCGUGAUCCACUCGCCUCGGCCUCCCAAAGUGCUGGGAUUACAGGGUUUUUGUUUUUUUUUAAGAGUCUCACUCUGUCACCCAGGCUGGAGUACAGGAGUACAGCAGUGCCAUCUUGGCUCACUGCAACCUCCGCCUCCCAGGUUCAAGCAGUUUUCCACCUUAGCAUCCCAAGUAGCCGGGAUUACAGAUGUCUGCCACCAAGCCGGGCUAAUUUUUGUAUUUUUAGUAAAGAUGGGGUUUUACCAUCUUGGCCAGGCUGAUCUUGAACUCCUGACCUUGUGAUCCACCCAUCUCAGCCUCUCAAAGUGCUGGGAUUACAGGCAUGAGCCACCAUGCCCAGCCAGAUUUUGUAGUCAUAGGCAAGCUUAAACUAAAACAGUGUCCAACACAUUUAGAGGGCUGAGUGAGUGCUACAUUCCCCCAGGACACAGGAAGAGUUCAUAUACUAGGGCACCAGCAAGGCAGGAACUCCAAGAUUUACAAUCAGAUAAUCUAGAAAGAAGCUAUUUUUGCUUCAGUACAUGUAAGUGUGUGGUUUAGUACUAUUUUUAGUUAGAGUUAAAUAUGGGGAAGGAGCACCAGAAUUGCUAGUUACAAUUAACUACGGGGGAGGAACACCAUCAUCCCUAGUGUUUAGACCCUCUUAGGGUCUUACUUAAUCCAUCCUUGGCUGAAGUUUAUUCAUUCAUUGGACAAACAGUGAUUGAGUGCCUACUACCCGUAUGUGCCAGGCACUGCACCUAGCUCUGGGAAUAUGGUUAUAGAUAAGAUAGGUAAGGCUCCCUUUCUCAUGAAACUAACAUUCCAGUGGAGAGACAAGACAAUUACUCUAAGCCAAUAAACAAAAUCAAUGGCCUGGACUG